ensembl:lncRNA
UAUGGAUCUCUAUGGUGUCUCUACGGGGUUUGGGAUCACUGUAGGCUCUCUAUGGGGUCCCUAUGGGGUCUCUAUGGGGCUGGGGGUCUCUAUGGAUCUCUGUGGUGUCUCUACGGGGUUUGAGAUCUCUAUGGGGUCUCUAUGGGGCUGGGGGUCUCUAUGGAUCUCUAUGGCGUCUCUACGGGGUUUGGGGUCUCUAUGGGGUCUCUAUGGGGCUGGGGGUCUCUAUGGAUCUCUAUGGUGUCUCUACGGGGUUUGGGGUCUCUAUGGGGUCUCUAUGGGGCUGGGGGUCUCUAUGGAUCUCUAUGGUGUCUCUACGGGGUUUGGGGUCCCUAUGGGGUCUCUAUGGGGUCCCUAUGGGGUCUCUAUGGGGCUGGGGGGCUCUAUGGAUCUCUAUGGUGUCUCUACGGGGUUUGGGAUCUCUGUAGGGUCUCUGUAGGGUCUCUGUAGGGUCUCUAUGGGGUCUCUAUGGGGUCUCUAUGGGGUCUCUAUGGGGCUGGGGGUCUCUAUGGAUCUCUAUGGUGUCUCUACGGGGUUUGGGGUCUCUAUGGGAUCUCUAUGGGGUCUCUAUGGGGUCUCUAUGGGGUCUCUAUGGGGUCUCUAUGGGGUCUCUAUGGGGCUGGGGGUCUCUAUGGAUCUCUAUGGUGUCUCUACGUGGUUUGGGAUCUCUGUAGGCUCCCUAUGGGGUCCCUAUGGGGUCCCUAUGGGGUCUCUAUGGGGUCCCUAUGGGUUCUCUAUGGGGCUGGGGGUCUCUAUGGAUCUCUAUGGUGUCUCUACGGGGUUUGGGGUCUCUGUAGGCUCUCUAUAGGGGCUCUAUGGAGUCUCUUUGGGGUCUCAAUGGGGUUUGCGGUUUCUGUGGGUUUCUAUGGGGUCUCUAUGGGGUCUCUAUGGAUCUCUAUGGAUGCCUAUGGUGUCUCUAUGCGGUUUGGGGUCUCUAUGGGGUCCCUAUAACAUCUGUAUGGAGUCUUUAUGGGGUCUCUAUGAGGUUUGGGGUCUCUGUGGGUCUCUAUGGGGUCUGUAUAGAGUCUCUAUGGGGUCUCUAUGAGGUUUGGGGUCUCUGUGGGUCUCUAUGGGGUCUCUAUGAGGUUUGGGGUCUCUGUGGGUCUCUAUGGGGUCUCUAUGAGGUUUGGGGUCUCUAUGGGGUCCCUAUUGGGUCUCUAUGGGGUCUCUAUGGGGCUGGGGGUCUCUAUGGGGUUUGGGAUCUCUAUGGGGUCUACAUGGGGCUGGGAGGUCUCUGUGGGGUCUCCAUGGGGUCUCUAUGGGGUUUGGGAUCUCUAUGGGGUCUACAUGGGGCUGGGAGGUCUCUGUGGGGUCUCCAUGGGGUCCUCUAUGCGAGUCUAUGGUGUCUCCAUGGGGCUGAGAGGUCUCUAUAGGGUCUCCAUGGGAUCACUAUGAGGUCUCUAUGGGGUCUCUAUGGGCAUCUAUGGGGUCUCUAUGAGGCUGAGAUGUCUCUAUGGGGUCUCCAUGGGGUCUCUGUGAGGCUGGGGGUCUCUAUGGGGUCUCUAUGUGGUCCCUAUGGGGCUGAGAGGUCUCUAUGGGGUCUCUAUGGGGCUGAGGGGUCUCUAAUGGGUCUCUGUGGGUCCCUAUGGGGUCUCUAUAGGGUUUGGGGUCUCUACGGGGUCUCUACGGGGUCUCUAUGGGGUCUCUAUGGGGGCUGAGAGGUCUCUAUGGGGUCUCUAUGGGUCUCCAUGGGGCUGAGGGGUCCCUAUGGGGUCUCUAUGGGGUCUCAAUGGGGUCUCUGUGAGGCUGGGAGUCUCUAUGGGGUCUCUAUUGGGUGUCUGUGGGGCUGGGAGUUUCCAUGGGGUCUCUAUGGGGUCUGUAAGUGGUUUGGGGUCUCUGUGGGAUAUCUAUGGGGUUUUUAUGGGGUCUCUAUGGGGUUUGGAGUCUCUACGGGGUCUCUAUGGGGUAUGGGGUCUCUAUGGGGUUUGAGGUCUCUAUUGGGGCUCUAUGGGGUCUCCAUGGGGCUGUGAGGUCUCUGUGGGGUCUCCAUGGGGUCACUAUGAGGUCUCUGUGAGGCUGGGGGUCUCUAUGGGGUCUCUAUGGGAGUCUAUGGGGUCUCCAUGGGUCUGAGAGGUCUCCAUGGGGUCUCUAUGGGGCUGAGAGGUCUCUAUGGAGUCUCUAUGGGGUCUCUAUGGGGCUGGGGGUCUGUAUGGAUCUCUAUGGGGUCUCUAUGGGGUCUCUAUGGGGUCUCCAUGGGGCUGAGUGGUCUCCAUGGGGUCUCCAUGGGGUCUCUGUGAGGCUGGGGGUCUCUAUGGGGUCUCCAUGGGGUCCCUAUGGGGCUGAGAGGUCUCUAUGGGGUCCCUAUGGGGCUGAGAGGUCUCUAUGGGGUCUCCAUGGGGCUGAGGGGUCUCUAUGGAGUCUCCA